UACGUAGGGUGCGAGUGUUGUCCGGAAUUAUUGGGCGUAAAGAGCUCGUAGGCGGCUUGUCGCGUCGGAUGUGAAAGCCCGGGGCUUAACUCCGGGUCUGCAUUCGAUACGGGCAGGCUAGAGUUCGGUAGGGGAGAUCGGAAUUCCUGGUGUAGCGGUGAAAUGCGCAGAUAUCAGGAGGAACACCGGUGGCGAAGGCGGAUCUCUGGGCCGAUACUGACGCUGAGGAGCGAAAGCGUGGGGAGCGAACAGG
rnacentral:rRNA from 1 species